ACGGAGGAUCCGAGCGUUAUCCGGAUUUAUUGGGUUUAAAGGGAGCGUAGAUGGAUGUUUAAGUCAGUUGUGAAAGUUUGCGGCUCAACCGUAAAAUUGCAGUUGAUACUGGAUAUCUUGAGUGCAGUUGAGGCAGGAGGAAUUCGUGGUGAAGCGGUGAAAUGCCUAGAUAUCACGAAGACCUACGAUUGCGAAGGCAGCCUGAUACGCUGCAACUGCCAUUGAGGCGCGCAAGUGUGGGUAUCAAACAG
rnacentral:rRNA from 1 species